rnacentral:rRNA from 1 species
AUUGAACGCUGGCGGCAUGCCUUACACAUGCAAGUCGAACGGCAGCACGGGAGCAAUCCUGGUGGCGAGUGGCGAACGGGUGAGUAAAGUAUCGGAACGUGCCCAGUCGGGGGGGAUAACGUAGCGAAAGUUACGCUAAUACCGCAUACGAUCUAUGGAUGAAAGCGGGGGAUCGCAAGACCUCGCGCGAUUGGAGCGGCCGAUAUCAGAUUAGGUAGUUGGUGGGGUAAAGGCUCACCAAGCCGACGAUCUGUAGCUGGUCUGAGAGGACGACCAGCCACACUGGGACUGAGACACGGCCCAGACUCCUACGGGAGGCAGCAGUGGGGAAUUUUGGACAAUGGGCGAAAGCCUGAUCCAGCCAUGCCGCGUGCAGGAUGAAGGCCUUCGGGUUGUAAACUGCUUCUGUACGGAACGAAAAGGUUUGGCCUAAUAAGCUGAGCUCAUGACGGUACCGUAAGAAUAAGUACCGGCUAACUACGUGCCAGCCGCCGCAGUAAAAC